AAACCGAUAUUCCACAGGGAAAAAACAUUUAAAUACAAGCUGAAGCAUGACAUAACUGUACAGUGAGGGAAAAAAAAAGUUUUGAAACCCUGCUGCUUUUGUAUGUUUGCCCACUGACAAAGAAAUUAUCAAUUUUAAUGGUAGGUUUAUUUGAACACUGAGAGACAGAACAACAGCAAAAAAAUCCAGAAAAACGCAUGUCAGAAUGUUUAAAAAUUGAUUUGCAUUUUAAUGAGUGAAAUAAGUAUUUGACCCCCUCUCAAUCAGAAAGAUUUCUGGCUCCCAGGUCUCUUUUAUACAGGUACUGAGCUGAGAUUAGGAGUACACUCUUAAAGGGAGUUUUCCUAAUCUAAUUUUGUUACCUGUAUAAAAGACACCUGUCCACAGAAGCAAUCAAUCAAUCAGAUUCCAAACUCUCCACCAUGGCCAAGAUCAAAGAGCUGUCCAAGGAUGUCAGGGACAAGAUUGUAGACCUACACAAGGCUGGAAAGGGCUACAAGACCGUCGCCAAGCAGCUUGGUGAGAAGGUGAUGCGAUGACAGUUGGUGCAAUUAUUCACAAAUGGAAGAAACACAAAAGAACUGUCAAUCUCCCUCAGUCUGGGGCUCCAUGCUAGAUCUCACCUCGUGGAGUUGCAAUGAUUAUGAAAACGGUGAGGAAUCAGCCCAUAACUACACAGGAGGAUCUUGUCAAUGAUCUCAAGGCAGCUGGGACCAUGGUCCCAAGAAAACAACUGAUAACACACAACGCCGUGAAGGACUGAAAUCCUGCAGCGCCCGCAAGGGCCCCCUGCUCAAGAAAGCACAUGUACAGGCCCGUCUGAAGUUUGCCAAUGUCAAAGCAUCCUUAAGGCUCCUUCGUUUGGAUGCACCUUGGAGAAAAAAUGAAUAGAAAUGCUUACUAGAUCAAAUGUGUAUUUGCAUAGGAUGUGUUAGAACUUGCUUCCAUAUGUGUAUUUAGACAGGAUGGAUUUGCAAAAGCUUGCAAUAUGUUUUAGAACUCUUUUCCAUUCUGUUAUGAAUUAGCAACUGCUUGCUGAUGUGCAUCUUAGAUAAGAUGUGUUAAAACAUUUUGGGGAAAGUUUCAGACAGGAAGCCUCUGUAUGACAGCUAGAAACUGUUUGCGUAGGACUUCUUAGAAACUGCCUGCAGAGGAUGUGGUUUUGAACUGCUUGCAUAGAUAAGAACCACACUUAACCUUUUUUAUAAUGAAGAAAACAUGUAUGAUGUAUGGAUACGUCAUGGCACAGUAAAAAAUCUAAAUGGGUCAUCAGUAUUGAAGCUUAUAAAAUGACUUGUAUGUCUAUGUGAAAGCAGAACACGAGAGUUCAGAGACGAGAGCACAAGAGAAGAGAGCACUUCGAGUGCUGCCCCAUAUGGGGCAGCGGGCUCACAGAAGAAGUUAGUCCGAUAGACAGGAUAUAGCUCUCGAAGUCUUACUCUGUUAUAGUUUUGUGAAUCGUUCUGACCAUUUUUUUCAAAUGGCCCAGGGUCCCCGUUUUUUAGUUUUCUCCAUCACCCUCUAUCAAGAAGGUUAGCUCUUUUAUUUUUCCUUUUAUAUUAUUUUCAUAUAUCCUGACAAUAAAAAUGUGAAAAGACAGUCGUUGUCCGUCCUCCCUUGUGCGCCCCUCACUGGACCCGGGAGAUUUGCAAGCGCCACACGCCUGGAGCUAGGUGCUAGAGAGCGGUGUGCACGGUCAGGGCAAUGGCAUUGUCUGUAGACCUGUUGGACCGGUAUGCAAACUGCAUAGGGUCCAGGAUGGGAGACAACGAGGAGCAGAUGAAUGACCUUGGUGUUCUUGGGCACAAGGACAAUGGUGGUCCUCUUGAAGCAGGUGGGGAGUACAGACAGGCUGAGGGAGAGGUUGAAGAUGUCACUGUAAUGGCUUUAAGUCCGCUCCACAUACGACUUGGGUCAGAUCCAUGGUAGCUGGAUUCCACCUUGGUCCUGUAAGCCCAUUUCGCUCCUUUGAUGGCCUUAAGAAGGUUGUAUCUGUCCUUCUUGUACCGUUCAGAGUCCCCAGAGUUAAAGGCGACAGACCGGGCUCUCAGAUUGGCCCGGACCGCGGCAUCAACCCAGGGAAACUGAUUGGGAAAAGACCGGACAGCCUUCUUGGGGACGACGUCAUCGAUACAGUGUUGAAUGGGCCUCGUCGUAUUUACAAUGUAUUUUUUUUAUAAUUAAAACAAAUCACUUGUCAUUGCAAACGAAUGACAAUUCAAAUUAAGCAUGAAAACACAAUUCUUUAAUUAUAUUCUUUAUAGCUAAAUUUGAUCUCAAAUCCAUCAUGGAACAUAUGAUUCAGGUCAUGACAUUUCUGUCAGGAGAGUGUAGUGGAGUGUGUAUGAUCACGGAAACUAUUUUAAAGUGGCAGUGAAAAAAGAAAUAAGAAAAGGGAGGAGAAGUUAGGGGAGAAAUUACCUAAGAUAACGUAGUUUUCCCAAUCAAAAAAUGUAUCUGUGGAAGAUGAAGACAUUUCUGAUAAUAUUUCAAGUGGUGCUGGGCCAAGUUUAGCUAUUGCUAGCAGCAGCAGACAAACAGCCACUUCAACACCAACUACCUUAUUUUACGGAAAAUAAGCUGCGGCUUGUACUGCGGCUUUUUUACAGUUUUCUUGUGCUUGUGCGACUUAUAUUUUGAAGCGGCUCAUAGUCUGGUUUUAUAACAAAAAAGUGGCUUCUUCACCGUUUCAAGAUCUCUAUCGACCGUACAGCUAAUUUCAUGCUCAACACUUGAACGGGGGCUUUUUACAUGAAAGAGGAGUGGUGUGGUGCAGCAGCUUAUGGAGGCAAUGGAUUUAGCAAUCCACAAAUGGGUAUACGACAGGAACAAUGUUCGUACAAUUUUAGUUGUUGCUGUCGUGUCUUAUUUAUGUAAAUGUGAUACAGAAAAUACAAGACUAUUAUACAACAUUGCAUAGCACAAAGGAAAAAUGUUUAUGUAAACAUAGCAAACACCUCCCAGGUAGAACUGUAUAUGCAAGCACUGUAUGGUGAAUUACACUGACAAACAUGACAACUGGCUAAACCAUUGUGUAUGUAAUGACUUCUGUUAUAACUAUAUGUUUAUAUUUUUAUGGUGGUAAGACAAUUUUACAUUGAACCAAUAUAAUACAAUGGAUAAUAUAGGAUACAGCAGUCAAAUAAAGGCAACAUUAUCAUUUGCAUGAAUGUGCUUGAGCAUUGGCAAUUUGUUUAAAAUUAUGAGACAUUGCAUUUAUGAUGUGCGUAAGUGACAAGAAUAUAUGCGAUUGAACAAUUACUUCAGAGAUGACUUUCAAUUGGGAUCUGAGAAAUCUACAGUGAGGGAAUUUUUUUGGGGAUCCCCUGCUGAUUUUGUACGUUUGCCCACUGACAAAGAAAUUAUCAGUCAGUUGUCAAUUAUGACAACUGAGUCAAUUAUGAGUCAGUUUGAGUGGUAGGUUUAUUUGAACAUUGAGAGUAAGAAUAACAACAAAAAAUAACAGAAAAACGUAUGUCAAAAUUAUUAUUAAUUGAUUUGCAUUUUAAUGAGUGACCCCUCUGCAAAACACGACUUAAUACACAGAGGUCUGACGUUUCUUGUAGUUGGCCACCAGGGGCCUAUUCUUCGUAUGUCGCUAACUCAGUUAGCUGGAUUUGAUUAUUGAUUUGUCAUUAUCUUGGAUUGUUUGGUUCUUCAACACUCAUCCUGGACUUGCUGUCAUAGCAACAGGUCCGUAAACUUAAACCCGCUCGGGAGCAGGCUUAUUUUAUUUAAACAAGAUUCGAUUGAGGCUUUAUAAGCAGAGGUGAUACAUGAAGUCUGUCACAGCCAUGUAUUGCCCGUUUUCCCAACAACUGUCGAAAGGAUCCCUAAUGGAACCUUUGUUUUAAUGUACUUUGAAGAAAUGAUGAAUAAACAAAAAAAAGACUGAUGCUUAUUAGAUGAAAUGUGCAUUUAAAUUGAAGUGUUUUUAAAAUUCCUUGCAUACAUAUAUCAAAGUUUUGCAUUAAUUGCUAGCAUACAUACAUCGAGUUUUGCAUUAAGAUGUGUUUUAGAAUUUCUUGCAUACUAAUAUUGAGUAACUAAAUAAAAUGUGCAUUGGCAAAAUUUGAGUUUUUAGGAAAUGGCUUGCAUAUGUUUUUAGAGCCUUUUUACCUUUUCGUUUUGAAAAAAAAAUGUUUGUAUAUGUGCAUUUUAGAUAGAUGUGUUAUAACUGCUUACUGCUAAAAAGUUUGAAACAGAAUGUUUAGGUAUGACAGUUUGCAUAGGAUCUGGUAAGAAUAGCUUGCAUAGAGAAACCACACUUCAGGUUGGUUGGAAACAUGCACGAUAGCUGGAUACGUGCGUAAUGGCAAAACCCAAAUUAAGAAAUGUGUCAUCAGUAUUGAAGCAUAUAAAAAUGAUAUGUACGUGAAUGUUGCACAGUCUUAGUCGGCCACUGUCUAGUAGAGUCUCUGAUGUUAUAGAAUCCUGUUACAGUCUGUCUUGUUGAGUUGAUACUUUCACAGUUGAAUUGCAGCACUAAGCUCCCGUUUUAUUAUUUUUUCAAGUAGAGGAGGAUAGGGUUUAUAUCUUUUGUAUUGUUUUUUCUUACAUUUAACAAUAAACUUUUGAAAUGACA